UUCUUCAUAUCCAUCAAUCUCAAUUCUGCUAUGAAGCCACUGUGUUCCUGAAGGAAGGUGCCCCAUGGAAAUAAUUCUACCCCCAAUCCAGGGAACUAUUUUAACAAUCCAAUCACCACAUUUCAGUUCAAUAGCGAUUCUAGAAAGCUCUACGCCCUUUGAUCCUGAAACAUCUUCAACAUCUAGGAUAUGCUUAGAACUUUCUAAACAACUCUUAUAUUGUUUCUCGCUUGU
rnacentral:misc_RNA from 1 species